rnacentral:rRNA from 1 species
UACGUAGGGUGCAAGCGUUGUCCGGAAUUAUUGGGCGUAAAGAGCUCGUAGGCGGUUUGUCGCGUCUGCUGUGAAAACUCGGGGCUUAACCCCGGGCCUGCAGUGGGUACGGGCAGACUAGAGUGCGGUAGGGGAGACUGGAAUUCCUGGUGUAGCGGUGAAAUGCGCAGAUAUCAGGAGGAACACCGGUGGCGAAGGCGGCUCUCUGGUACGUGACUGACGCUGAGACGCGAAAGCGUGGGGAGCAAACAGG